GACGAACGCUGGCGGCGUGCCUAAUACAUGCAAGCAGGACGCAGUUGCGAACGGGUGAGUAACGCGUAGGUAACUGCCUAUUAGAGGGGGCUAACUAUUGGAAACGAUAGCUAAUACCGCAUACUAGUAGAUGGACCUGCGUUGUAUUAGAUAGUAGGUAGGGUAAUGGCCUACCUAGGCGACGAUACAUAGCCGAACUGCGAAGGUGAACGGCCAAAACGGGACUGAGGAACGGGCCAAACUCCUACGGGGGGCAAGAGGUGGGGAUCUUCGGCAAUGGGGGGAACCCUUGACGGGCAAAGCCGCGGGAGUGAAGAAGGUUUUCGGAUCGUAAAGCUUUGUUGUUAAGGAAGCGGUACUUAACCAGAAAGGGACGGCUAACUACGUGCCAGCAGCCGCGGUAAUAC
rnacentral:rRNA from 1 species